GGGUUGUGAGGUUAAGCGACUAAGCGUACACGGUGGAUGCCCUGGCAGUCAGAGGCGAUGAAGGGCGUACUAAUCUGCGAUAAGCGCCGGUAAGGUGAUAUGAACCGUUAUAACCGGCGAUACCCGAAUGGGGAAACCCAGUGUGAUUCGUCACACUAUCAUUAACUGAAUCCAUAGGUUAAUGAGGCGAACCGGGGGAACUGAAACAUCUAAGUACCCCGAGGAAAAGAAAUCAACCGAGAUUCCCCCAGUAGCGGCGAGCGAACGGGGAGGAGCCCAGAGCCUGAAUCAGCAUGUGUGUUAGUGGAAGCGUCUGGAAAGGCGCGCGAUACAGGGUGACAGCCCCGUACACAAAAGCGCAUGUGCUGUGAGCUCGAUGAGUAGGGCGGGACACGUGGUAUCCUGUCUGAAUAUGGGGGGACCAUCCUCCAAGGCUAAAUACUCCUGACUGACCGAUAGUGAACCAGUACCGUGAGGGAAAGGCGAAAAGAACCCCGGCGAGGGGAGUGAAAAAGAACCUGAAACCGUGUACGUACAAGCAGUGGGAGCACCCUUUGGGUGUGACUGCGUACCUUUUGUAUAAUGGGUCAGCGACUUAUAUUCUGUAGCAAGGUUAACCGAAUAGGGGAGCCGGAGGGAAACCGAGUCUUAACCGGGCGUUAAGUUGCAGGGUAUAGACCCGAAACCCGGUGAUCUAGCCAUGGGCAGGUUGAAGGUUGGGUAACACUAACUGGAGGACCGAACCGACUAAUGUUGAAAAAUUAGCGGAUGACCUGUGGCUGGGGGUGAAAGGCCAAUCAAACCGGGAGAUAGCUGGUUCUCCCCGAAAGCUAUUUAGGUAGCGCCUCGUGAAUUCAUCUCCGGGGGUAGAGCACUGUUUCGGCUAGGGGGCCAUCCCGGCUUACCAACCCGAUGCAAACUGCGAAUACCGGAGAAUGUUAUCACGGGAGACACACGGCGGGUGCUAACGUCCGUCGUGAAGAGGGAAACAACCCAGACCGCCAGCUAAGGUCCCAAAGUCAUGGUUAAGUGGGAAACGAUGUGGGAAGGCCCAGACAGCCAGGAUGUUGGCUUAGAAGCAGCCAUCAUUUAAAGAAAGCGUAAUAGCUCACUGGUCGAGUCGGCCUGCGCGGAAGAUGUAACGGGGCUAAACCAUGCACCGAAGCUGCGGCAGCGACACUGUGUGUUGUUGGGUAGGGGAGCGUUCUGUAAGCCUGUGAAGGUGUGUCGUGAGGCAUGCUGGAGGUAUCAGAAGUGCGAAUGCUGACAUAAGUAACGAUAAAGCGGGUGAAAAGCCCGCUCGCCGGAAGACCAAGGGUUCCUGUCCAACGUUAAUCGGGGCAGGGUGAGUCGACCCCUAAGGCGAGGCCGAAAGGCGUAGUCGAUGGGAAACGGGUUAAUAUUCCCGUACUUGGUGUUACUGCGAAGGGGGGACGGAGAAGGCUAUGUUGGCCGGGCGACGGUU
rnacentral:rRNA from 1 species